GACGAACGCUGGCGGCGUGCUUAACACAUGCAAGUCGAACGGUGAAGCGCCUUCCUUUUUGGUGGGUGUAGAUGAGUGGCGAACGGGUGAGUAACACGUGAGUAACCUGCCCCCUUCUUCUGGAUAACCGCAUGAAAGUGUGGCUAAUACGGGAUAUUCUGGGUCUGUCGCAUGAUGGGUCUGGGAAAGAUAUUGUUUCGGUGGGGGAUGGGCUCGCGGCCUAUCAGCUUGUUGGUGGGGUGAUGGCCUACCAAGGCGGUGACGGGUAGCCGGCCUGAGAGGGUGGACGGUCACACUGGGACUGAGACACGGCCCAGACUCCUACGGGAGGCAGCAGUGGGGAAUAUUGCACAAUGGGCGCAAGCCUGAUGCAGCGACGCCGCGUGAGGGAUGGAGGCCUUCGGGUUGUGAACCUCUUUCGCCAGUGAAGCAGGCCUGCCUCGUUUGUGGGUGGGUUGACGGUAGCUGGAUAAGAAGCGCCGGCUAACUACGUG
rnacentral:rRNA from 1 species